GAAGGGUCUUCCUUACAAAAAAAGAGAUAUGGUUAGUUUGCCCAUAUUUAAAUUUUGUUUUAGGAUGUAGCUGCUUUUGUUAUUUAUCUUCGGCAACUGAACAAUGGUGGCUCAGUUCAUAUAUCUGGCUACUAUUUUAUUGAACUUAAUUCCCGUCUUGGUCACAAAGCUAACAUACUGUACCAUAAUUUGAAGGGAAAUGACAUGUACAUUGAAUUUAUGCACAGAGAGCAGGCAUGUUGUUUUAUCGUUUUAUAAGUGAUCAAAUCUUGCAGCACAAACAAUCAUUCAAUCCAACAAUGGUGUUGUUAAAUUUCAUACUAGUCACGGCGUGUAGAGGGUAUGCGCACAUAUGUAGUGGUGUGAGUGUUGUGUGCACAUAUAUUGUGGGUGCGCCUCGGACUCUUAAAGUUCAUAGUAGGAGCAUCAUAAGUUUUUAUUUUAGCCUUGUUGGUUAAACAACUAAAGAAUGAUGGAAAUUAAUAAAACUGUCUAUCAGCAAUCUAUCCAUUGAUCGUGCAUAUGAGAUCAGUGGCGAUUCCAUGUGUAAGCUGUGGGGUCAGCUGACCCCACAGCUUUUCUGAUUGCAAGCCUAUUUCUAUUAAUAUUGUGCAAAAAACUAGGACAUUUUAAAGGGUUUAGUGCAUUUGAACCCACAGCUUUUUGGUGCUGGCACCGCCGCUGAUGAGAUUGUGUCGGAACAAACUAAUAGCACAACAUGUGUUGUUGAGACACACGAUUGCGGCAGCUUCAUGCCGCCUUAAGGAAGUCUAAUGACCCUCCUACUUCCCAUUUCUUUACAUUGCUUGAGAGUACAAGGGUUUCUGCACUUGUACAUAAACAUCACAAUAGCUGGUAAUGUACAUGUCAUGAUUUGAUCAUCUUAUCCUUGUAGCAUUAUUUGCUUCCAGUCUAAAGCUUUGGGUGAAGGGGGGUAUCUAUUCGAGAAGUCCCAACCAUGUUCCUUUUCUGUAAUUAUGGACAGUGUCGACGUUGAAUUUCUUCCGAUAUUAUGAUGGUGUUGUGUGUUGUGAAAGAGGGUUGAGAUGGGGUAGGAUCUUGAGGGGGUGUUGUCGGGGACAACAAAGACACAGUUUUUACCCAGGAUCAGGCUCCCGAAGAGGGUAAUGGCGUCCCACCACCAGUUUAUAUUGAUAUGAGGGUUUUAAAGAAUACACGAAUUAUAUUGCAUCUACAAAUUAGCUAGGUCUUGCAAGAAUGGCUUUAGCCUUCGGCAGGGGUCGAGCCCUUAUCUAGAGAUAUCUUCUUGGGAAACAAGUCUUCAAUCUUUGCUCUUUGGUAUGAUGUGCUAUGAGUCGACCUCCUACCAAACUAGGUAAGUUAUCUCCUAGUUACAACAGGAUCUAGGAGUCAGCAUGUCCAUCAUUAUCUCUUCUUCAAGUACUUACCAAUAGUCAGCACUAGUUCCGAUAUAUAACAAAGCUAGUAUCCUGAAUAUUGAUAGAAAUGUAUUUAUAUCCUUGUUAGUGACCUAGUCCACUUUAUGAAUAAUUAACUCUUUCUGAAAGUUAGAAAAAAAUGUUCAUUUGAGAUUUAAUAGAAAUGAUUCAUAAUCUCAGUAUAGAACUAAUGUGUUCUUUUUCAACGGAUCAGACUGAUGAGAUGUUCUACAACGAGAAGUGGAAAAUAUAUAAGUAUAUUCGGGAGAUGAUUUCUUCCAAUCCAAGCAUUUUGGUUAGUUAUCUUUAUUGCAUGUUUGUUAUAAUUUAUGGAAAUAUUCUUUCUUGUGCAUUCUGGUUAGUUUUCUUUCUUGCAUGUUCGAUCAAAUUUAUGGAGCUGUUCUUUCAGAUUCUAGUUUAUAGAAAAUAACUUUGUAUUAUGGGCAGAUAAGCCAGAAGCAUUGCCAUUUUGUUUCUUUCAUUUGUGAUACCGAUACCCUAUUUUUGUGGAAUACAAGUAGUACGUGUGCAAGCAACAUCUAACUAUAGUGUAAAGAUCUGCCAAAGGAAUGAAAAAAAAUAUCAAUAGGAAUUCAAUAAAAUGAUUUUACAUUCCCAACUCAAUAUUAAGUAUUGACUAAAAGUAUAUGAGUUGGGGAAAAAAUUCCGCUGCUGUGUUUUUUUUAAACCGACCUAACUUCUGUAAAACUUUAGCAUGAACACUUUGAUUUAAAAUUCCUGAUGGAUUUACGCAACAACGUAUUUAUAGAUAUGAAACACUUGACAUCAUUAGGAACACAAUUGUCUUGCAUGUGGAUCAUUGGAUUAGCUUAUCUGAUCUUGGGCCUUAAUGUUUCUUUUGAAUGAACUACUUAUGAUUUCUAGUAUAUAUAAUGACAUUUGUCCACUCCAGUCUUCCUCCCUUCUUAUAAAUAAUAUCAAGUAUGUGUGUGGGUCACGAACUUGAUUUUAUAUCACCUCAACUGAGGUUGGUGGGUCACGAACAUUGAUGAAUCAUUACAUUAUUGAUCAUCAAUAUUUAGUUUUUGGGUUUAAAAACGUAUUAUCAUCAUUUUGGUGUUGUCAACGAACAGUUCCAAUUGUUUAUUAAGAUACAUAGUGCUAAUCUAACUUUUAAAAUUGUGCUAUUAUACAUUGAGUCGGGGGAUAACUGGUACAGUACUUUGGAAGCUAAAUACUACUCCCUGUGAUCCAAAAUAAGUGUUGCAGUUUUGAACUGAGGUUGGUUCAACCUUAGUGCAAAACUGCGACACUUAGUAUGGAUCGGAGGUUGUAUUAAGGUUGGUGUGUCGGAACACAGAUGAAUCAUAGCAAACCAGAAUAUUGUUAUAAAUGAGGUUGGUGUGUCGGAACACAGAUGAAUCAUUACAUUACUCAUCGUUAGUAUUUAGGUUUUGGGUUUAAAGAUGUAUUCGCAGCACUGUGGCGUUGUCAACCAAUGGCUGCGAUUAUUUCGUAAGAUACUUGGUGCUAAUCUAAAUACAAAAUUGUGUUUUUAUACAUCUGCUCCUUUGGAAGCUUCCUUGAUGUUUUAGAAAAGAAGCAAAGAUGUCUUAGUGUGUGCUACAGUUAGGGAUCUGGCUCUAGAGGUGUACGCAACUUUCACUGAUUAUUUGUUAAUUGGGUGAAACUUGUAGCAUGUGGAAACCGCUCUGUCACAGGAACUGUUAAUCCAGGCUGGUGACGCUCUGGAUUUGGCUAAAAAUAUCGUGGUAAUUUCAUAUUUUUUGCAACUCUCUUAUAACUACUUGGUGUGUACCUUUUUUUUCCUUUCAUUGUGUCCUCACAGUUAACUAUUUUUCGUGCAUUCAGUAUAGUGCAUCUUACAGGCUCAAGCGGAC
rnacentral:lncRNA from 1 species